GCAGAUGGCGCUAGAAUGCUCACAAUCCUCACCUGCGAACCCGGGAUAAUUCCGCCAGUUUGAGAUCUGGGCUCGGCUGUCCUCAAUGAACCCAGCCCAGCCCAGGUCACCGAGCUGCUGUUCCGCCCCGGGGCAGACAAUGAAACAGCAGCCUCUGUAGGCGGAGAAUCCUUCCCCUGAGAAGGGGGUAACCUGAGGGGAGGGAGAAUUCUCGUUUCCGCCGGUCUCCUCCCUGCAGACCUUUCUCGGAUUGACUCUGCCUCGGAAUAUUCCUCUGCCAGGGAGAGAAGAAACGGAGCUCGCCAUGGGCUCGGGGAGAGGAGCUGCUCUGUGGAGCCUUCUCCUCACCUUUGCGUUUCUCUUUUCCUGCUGCGAAGCCCAAGUGGUUCAGAGCCCUGAGUCGCUGGAUACUGGGGAAGGGAAGGUCUCCACCAUGUCAUGCUCCUUCACCAGCGCUUUCCAAGCCUUCCAGUGGUACCAGCAGCUGCCUGGGCAAGGGCCGACUCAUCUGCUGACUGCGAGCUCUAAUGAGAAUGCCACUGUGGGGCGGUUCAUAGGCGAGCGCCUGGAAAGUGGGAAACGCAGCUCCCUGCACAUCACCGACUCCCAGCUGGGGGACUCAGGCAGCUACCUCUGUGCGGUGGAUGCACAGUGACACAGGCAGAGCUGGUCUCAGGGCAAAAACUCUCAUCCUCUGACAGGCAGUUUAGGGGAGGAGAUGGAACGGCAGUUCCCCAGAUGGCUUAAAGUAGCAUAAUUCCAUGGCAGCCAAGGGGACAGAUCCUCAGCCGUUAUAAAUGAAAACAGCUGUAGUGGAGUCAACGGGGCCACAACGUGAGGACCAGGGGACUGGAACCCAGGUCUUCAGAUCAUGGGACAACUGUGUGAAGAUCAGCAUAAAUCCAGAGUCACUCCACAUGUGUUCAUUGUGGUGACUAGAGUACAAGAAAU